GCCAUACAUAAACUAUAAACCCUACCUAGAUAAAGAAAAAUUUCAUAACACAUAGUACUUUAUAAAAAAUGUGAUUCAGUUUACAACCGCAAGGAUCAACACCUAAGGACCUAAAAGAAUUGAUAACAUCAUAUCCCUUUUGCAUCAUGGAGAAGCAACAAAAAUAUAGCAAGCUAAGCUCCCGAAUGACUAUGAGCUACUAACCCUUAAAAAUCAAUGUUUCACAAUUGAUAAAGUAACUUUUAGUAGAAGUAAUAAGCCUUCCAUAUAGUCAUAUAGCUGGUUUUUCUUUAAAAGCAUCAAAGUGCUGACUUGUAGUAUUAUAUUAACAUAUUACUGUUAACUACAAAGUUUAGUUUAUUGAGGACAAGCUCAAUAAAAACCCAAAAAUACCUUAUCCACUAACUCUCCAAGUAGGCUUAAAAGCAGCCACCUAACAACGUUUUAGUUAUCAGCGCCCAUAACUCUUUAAUAUUUAUAUUCUAUCAUUUUAACUUCAAAGAAACUUAACACAAAACUCCACCUGUUAAUAAACAGGCAUUCUAUUAGUAUUAAUGUAAUUAACCUCUCAAAAAAAUAAAACGACUUGAAUCAAAAACCAUCUUACUAACAAAACUACAUAAAGUGAACUCGGCAAAUAAAUUCCCUGCCUGUUUACCAAAAACAUCGUCUUUUGGACUCUUCUAUAAAAGAUAAUGCCUGCCC
rnacentral:rRNA from 1 species